GGGGGCUGUUGGCAUUGCAGAUGGUCCGGUGGUUGACCAACCAAACCAAAGGGAUACCACAUCAGUGUCUCAUUAGCUGCGUGACCAAGCUGAGAUAGCCCAAAUGGAGACUUUAGGCGUGUCUGAUGUGCCAAGUUUUAGCAUAGGGCUUACUCAGGAGUUUGCAAACAUGAAACAGGCGGACAAGCAUGUUAACGCUCCGAACGACACGCCACUGCCUCCUCAGGAACCAGUUAUUUCACCAUGCAUUGUGCCACGCAGGGUGGAUGUUCCUAGGCUUAAAGGGAAUGAACCACUCAUUCAACGGGACCGCUCUGCGGGCAUU